rnacentral:misc_RNA from 1 species
AGUAGAAAAAGUUGAAUUGGAAGAUAAGCUACAUAAGAUGGAAGUAGAAAAGGUUGAAUUGGAAGAAAAGCUAGAGAAAAUACAAGACAAUAGAACUGAAUUGGAGAUGGUUCUCACUGUAAGUCAGGAAAAGAAUGAAGAAUUUCAAAUUCAGCUGAAGGAGGCUGAACUAAAGUCAGAGGAACUGCAACAGGAGUUAUCAAUGGCAAAUGAAUCAAAGCAAAAAAUUGAAUCUCAACUUGUAAGCAUGGAAGUAGAGGCUCGGACAAUGGCUUCAAAGGUUAAUUCAUUAGAAGUAGAGGUUGAAAAGGAAAGGGUUCUGUCCGCAGAAAUUGCAGUCAAGUGUCGGGCAUUAGAAGAAGAGCUAUCUGAAAAGAACAAGGAAGUUGAACUCCAGAAAUCUGCUAGCUCUAAUAGCGAACUGAAGAUAAAGCAGGUUAAUAUUCAAUUACUGUCAUUUUCUGCAUUAUAUUCAUAUUUCCGUUAUCCUCUAUCAUGCAUUUAUGGACAUUAGAUUGGUCAGAACAAGGCACAGUGUGUCCCACAUAUAAUAAGUGUGAAACUUGUCUGACAGGAAGACCUAGCUGCAGCUGCUGGAAAACUUGCUGAAUGCCAGAAAACAAUAGCAUCUCUAGGGAAGCAACUGAAAUCUCUAGCAACCCUAGAGGACUUCUUAAUUGACACUGCAAGCCUACCAGAGUUCAGUGCAGAAGGAUUACUGAUGCCUAGAGCUAGUGGAGAGCCUUGGAAGUUACAUUCUAGUGACACACUCUCACCUAAAAGGGAUUCUAGCUCUUCAAGAAUAGCCAGUGAGAAUUCUGACCCUUCAGUAAAUACAAAUGAGGGGCCCUCACCCCCAUCUUCAUCAUUUUCAACUUCAUCAGCCACAUCAAGUCACAGCAGUUUUGAGAAGAACCGAAAUGGUUUCGCAAAAUUUUUCUCUAGAAGCAAGAAUGGAAUUCAACUAGAAAUUUAGCAAGGAUCAGGCCAGGAAAGAAGAAAAAGAAACUAUAUAUUGAUGAUUUCUUGAUUGUAAAAAGGGAGAAUUUAUUGGAUGUUGAUUAAAUGCUAUUUAAUCAGCAGUACUUAUGUUAGUUGAUUCAUUAUACAUGAAUCAUGUUUAGGAAUACUACAUUCAAUUCAAGCAAAUUUCAACUACUUUGAUUGAAUAGUUUGUAGUCACAUGCUACAUUGAAAAGCUUCUGUUUGUGUUCGAGAUUAGCUAAUUUGAGUUCCUUUCUGGCAUCUUGAAUCUUGAUCAUCACAAUGCUUAUUUCAAUUGUUAAAAGAAGAUUUGAA